CAGACUGAAUCAAAAGCGUUCUAAAAACUGUGACUGACAUUCCACUUUGAGAUGGAGAUUAAUGCUGAUCUCCCUGUGAACAAAAGAUCCUACGCUCUUGUGGGGUGAAAAGGAACAUGAUGGAGGAGAUGAUCUUCUUGCAAACACCCAUGGAUUCCCGGCAUCCUCAAGAGAGCUGUUAGACUGAACUUUCGGCUUUUAUGCGAACGAGGGUAUCCCUGUACAAGACACCAGGCAGAAUUUCAUCCAGGUAGCCCAGUACUGGGCCCAGGAACUUGCGUGUGACUAAGGCGCAGCUUGCAGAAAGGCAUCCAGUCCUGAUCUGAAGACAUCAAGAUGGGGAAUCCACCCCUUCCCUUGGUAGUUUGUUACAAAGGUUAAUAAACUUCCUGGGUAAAAGGUUGGGCCUUAUUUCUAAUUUGUAUUUGUCUGGCUUUGGUUUCCAGCCUUUGGUUCUU